rnacentral:rRNA from 1 species
AUGGCGCCGUCGGAGACGAUGCUGGAGUCGGCGGCGUACAGGCGGAUGAAGGCGGAGAACCCGUCCGAGUUCGUGCCGCGGAGCGUCUUCUUCGCGCGCGACGGCGGCAGCGGCAUCGACCGCCGCAACAGCCUCUGGGUCAAGGCGGCGCUCGUCUACGAGUCCGUCACCGGCCGCCACGUCGACGACGGCGUCAAGCCCCUCGCCACCAGCCUCUUCCUCCAGGUCGCCCGCGAAUGCCGCUCCCGCGUCCCCGACGACGCACCGCAGACCAAAGCCACGGUGGUGACGGACGCCCUCAACAAAGUAUCGGGCGCCGUGGCUACGCCUAUUGCCGGCGCGGGCGGCGGAGAAGAUGGAUCAGAGGAGAAGCAGAACAAGACGGCGGAGCUGCACGACGAAGAAAAAGAGUCGGACGACAAGCAGGUGAUCGACGCCGUCUUCCUCGUCGUCGGCUUCCUCACGAGGCUGGUCAAGGCAGCCGAGGGCGUCAGCCGCGACGCCGUCGACGAGGGGUUCAAGUCCACGCACAUGCAGGACAUCGUCACAGACAUGAUCAAGCUGGAGAACCAGCUCCCCCUCAAGCUCAUCCUCGACGUCGUCGAGCACGUCCAGGACGCGGCACGCGCCGUCGCCGCCGACACCAAGUUCGAGGGGCUCCGGGAAUGCCUCGAGGGGUACAAGCUCGGCUUCAACCCCGCCACCUUCUUCGACGACGUUGUCAGGCCCUUCUGCUGGUACUACUCGCCCUUCUUCAACAAGCAGCUGCCGGCCGUGGACCGCGGCCUGUUCGACGGCAACCACGAGAUCACGCUCCUGGACUUCCUGCGCGCCAGCGUGGUGCCGACGCCGCCGGGCGCGGAGAAGGGGGCGGCCGGCGGCGGCAGGACGUCCCGCAUGCCGACGGCCAGGGAGCUGAGCCGCUCCGGCGUGCGGAUCGCGCCGGGGGAGGACGGCCGCGCGACGGUGGAGUUCGACGAGGCGUCCGCCAGGCUGCAGCUGCCGGCGCUGGUGUACGACUUCAAGCUGGCCACGGUGGCCCGGAACCUGCUGGCGCGGGAGUACGAGGAGCAGAACAAGCCGGUGACGCGCUACUUCCAGAUGAUGAACGAGCUCGUCGACGAGGCGGCCGACGCCAAGAUCCUCCGCCGCGCCGGCGCCGUGCGCGGUGGCGGGGCGUCCGGCGCCGAGGUGCACGAGUUGGUCAAGCGGAUCGACGGGUACGCGACGUACCCAUCGGUGUACAUGGCCAUGGACGUGCAGAUCGCGAAGGUGAGGCGGUUCCACGACAUGAGGAUGCAGAACUUCCUCGUCCGCUACCGCCCCGGCGUCAUCUGGGCGUCGUCGGUGGCAGCUGUCUCCUUGGUCGCCAUUGUUGCCGCCAGGAGACGGGGGUGA